GGUUGUGAGAGUGGCCUGGCUGUGAUGUUAUCAUCCCAUUGCUCCUGAGGUUUGCUUUGGCUGAUCUGGCUGGCUGGCGUCUCUUCCUCUUUACCCCUCAAUGCGUGUCCCUCCCACAUCUGGGCUCAGGGAGUGAGGGUGACCUCCUUGCCCCAGAGGAGUACUAUCGUUUGGUCAAAGGUGUGCAGGUGGCUGUGCUUCUCUGUUUAAGACCCAGCAAAAGACAAAGUAGAGAAAUCCCGGAGUGGGGAAGCCAAUCUUGCUGCCUGUCAGCAGGUUUUGUGCAAUUAAUUCAUGAUUUAUGCAUCAGAAC
rnacentral:snRNA from 1 species